UGCUAUGACGGGGAUCCGGCCUGAGAGGGUGAACGGACACACUGGAACUGAGACACGGUCCAGACUCCUACGGGAGGCAGCAGUAGGGAAUAUUGCUCAAUGGGGGAAACCCUGAAGCAGCAACGCCGCGUGGAGGAUGAAGGUUUUAGGAUUGUAAACUCCUUUUGUUAGAGAAGAUAAUGACGGUAUCUAACGAAUAAGCACCGGCUAACUCCGUGCCAGCAGCCGCGGUAAUACGGAGGGUGCAAGCGUUACUCGGAAUCACUGGGCGUAAAGAGCGCGUAGGCGGGAUAGUCAGUCAGGUGUGAAAUCCUAUGGCUUAACCAUAGAACUGCAUUUGAAACUACUAUUCUAGAGUGUGGGAGAGGUAGGUGGAAUUCUUGGUGUAGGGGGGUAAAAUCA
rnacentral:rRNA from 1 species